rnacentral:rRNA from 1 species
GUGAACGCUGGCGGUAGGCCUAACACAUGCCCGUCGAACGGCAGCACAGUAAGAGCUUGCUCUUACGGGUGGCGAGUGGCGGACGGGUGAGGAAUACAUCGGAAUCUACUUUUUCGUGGGGGAUAACGUAGGGAAACUUACGCUAAUACCGCAUACGACCUACGGGUGAAAGCAGGGGAUCUUCGGACCUUGCGCGAUUGAAUGAGCCGAUGUCGGAUUAGCUAGUUGGCGGGGUAAAGGCCCACCAAGGCGACGAUCCGUAGCUGGUCUGAGAGGAUGAUCAGCCACACUGGAACUGAGCCACGGUCCAGACUCCUACGGGAGGCAGCAGUGGGGAAUAUUGGACAAUGGGCGCAAGCCUGAUCCAGCCAUACCGCGUGGGUGAAGAAGGCCUUCGGGUUGUAAAGCCCUUUUGUUGGGAAAGAAAAGCAGCAGGUUAAUACCCCGCUGUUCUGACGGUACCCAAAGAAUAAGCACCGGCUAACUUCGUG